GGCUCGUUAACUCAAUUGGUAGAGUAGCAGACUUUUAAUCUGACGGUUCUGAGUUCGAGGCUCAGGCGAGCCA
rnacentral:tRNA from 1 species